rnacentral:rRNA from 1 species
AUUGAACGCUGGCGGCAUGCUUUACACAUGCAAGUCGAACGGUAACAGGUUAAGCUGACGAGUGGCGAACGGGCGAGUAAUGCAUCGGAACGUGCCCGAUCGUGGGGGAUAACGCAGCGAAAGCUGCGCUAAUACCGCAUACGAUCUGAGGAUGAAAGCGGGGGACCGUAAGGCCUCGCGCGAUCGGAGCGGCCGAUGUCCGAUUAGGUAGUUGGUGGGGUAAAGGCUCACCAAGCCAACGAUCUGUAGCUGGUCUGAGAGGACGACCAGCCACACUGGGACUGAGACACGGCCCAGACUCCUACGGGAGGCAGCAGUGGGGAAUUUUGGACAAUGGGCGAAAGCCUGAUCCAGCAAUGCCGCGUGCAGGAAGAAGGCCUUCGGGUUGUAAACUGCUUUUGUACGGAGCGAAAAGGUCUCCUCUAAUACAGGGGGCUCAUGACGGUACCGUAAGAAUAAGCACCGGCUAACUACGUGCCAGCAGCCGCCGUAA